rnacentral:rRNA from 1 species
GACAGGAGGGUGCAAACGUUGUUCGGAAUUACGUGGGCGUAAAGGGCUCGUAGGCGGCCAACUAAGUCGGACGUGAAAUCCCUCAGCUUAACUUGGGAAUUGCGCUCGAAACUACGUGCUAGAGUGUGGCAGAGGGAGGUGGAAUUCCACGUGUAGCGGUGAAAUGCGUAGAGAUGUGGAGGAACACCGAUGGCGAAGGCAGCCCCUGGGUCAACACUGACGCUCAUGCACGAAA